AGCGAACGCUGGCGGCAGGCCUAACACAUGCAAGUCGAACGAACUCUUCGGAGUUAGUGGCGGACGGGUGAGUAACACGUGGGAACGUGCCUUUUGGUUCGGAAUAACUCAGGGAAACUUGUGCUAAUACCGAAUGUGCCCUUCGGGGGAAAGAUUUAUCGCCAUUAGAGCGGCCCGCGUCUGAUUAGCUAGUUGGUGAGGUAACGGCUCACCAAGGCGACGAUCAGUAGCUGGUCUGAGAGGAUGACCAGCCACACUGGAACUGAGACACGGCCCAGACUCCUACGGGAGGCAGCAGUGGGGAAUCUUGCGCAAUGGGCGAAAGCCUGACGCAGCCAUGCCGCGUGAAUGAUGAAGGUCUUAGGAUUGUAAAAUUCUUUCACCGGGGACGAUAAUGACGGUACCCGGAGAAGAAGCCCCGGCUAACUUCGUG
rnacentral:rRNA from 1 species